rnacentral:rRNA from 1 species
UACGUAGGUGGCAAGCGUUGUCCGGAAUUAUUGGGCGUAAAGCGCGCGCAGGCGGUUCUUUAAGUCUGAUGUGAAAGCCCACGGCUCAACCGUGGAGGGUCAUUGGAAACUGGAGAACUUGAGUACAGAAGAGGAAAGCGGAAUUCCACGUGUAGCGGUGAAAUGCGUAGAGAUGUGGAGGAACACCAGUGGCGAAGGCGGGUCUCUGGGCCGUAACUGACGCUGAGGAGCGAAAGCGUGGGGAGCGAACAGG